rnacentral:rRNA from 1 species
UGGGGGAUAUUGCACAAUGGGGGAAACCCUGAUGCAGCGACGCCGCGUGUAGGAAGACGGUCCUCUGGAUUGUAAACUACUGUCUUCGGGGACGAUAAUGACGGUACCCGAGGAGGAAGCUCCGGCUAACUCCGUGCCAGCAGCCGCGGUAAUACGGAGGGUCCGAGCGUUAUCCGGAUUUAUUGGGUUUAAAGGGAGCGUAGGCGGAUUGAUAAGUCAGUUGUGAAAGUUUGCGGCUCAACCGUAAAAUUGCAGUUGAUACUGUCAGUCUUGAGUACAGUAGAGGUAAGCGGAAUUCGUGGUGUAGCAGUGAAAUGCGUAGAUAUCGAGAGGAACACUCGUGGCGAAGGCGGGUUCCUGGACAUUAACUGACGCUGAGGUACGAAGGCUAGGGUAGCGAAAG